UAGGUUGGCAGGAGCAGGGACCGAGCAACGGGAGCUCACCCCGUCGCGGGGAUUAUGGGACUUACACACUAGUAAAUGUGUUUUGCGUUGUUUCCCAACUGUACAACUUUUUAAACCUAGGAUUCUAGUUUACAUUCAUUCAUAGUCAUAAGACCUGUGUUAUGAGAAGACGUGCACUCAAAUUCUCUUUUUUGUAAUUUCCAAUGCAGGUUCUAACAUGGAGAAAAGCAGUUGUUCCAAAUAAUAGCCCAAUCCUAUAUGGAUUUAGGUAUACCUGAUUCCAUUGAAAUUAAUAGGUUUACAGUGCAAUCCUGCGUCUCAUAUAUCCUAUAUCCAUAAGUAUAUACAAAAAUGCAGCUUUAAGUGCUGGUAACAUUGCAGAGAAAUAGGAAAUAAGAAUAUAGUAUAUACCUAUGGCUGUUCCUUUUCAAAAUAUGAAUACACUUUUGCAUAGAAUACUGCUUUGCAUUCAGAACUUCACAAGUGCUCUUCCAAGAACCAUACAAAUUAAAAUUAGGACCCAUUUGUUUUUCUGGACAUUUCAAACAUCAUAGUAUUGGUGUUGCCAUUGUAAGAUAGUGCUCAACGUGGCUGACAGUACAUAAAUGAAGAACAAAAUCCUUCAGCAAUAAACACCAAUACAUAUCAAUAAUGCAAUCACAAUAUUAACCAUUUGGUUAAUAAGCUACAUUGUGAGUCAGCCAAACCUGACCAUCGCCAUCAAAUUAAACUGUUGUGUCCAUAUUUGCAACCUUUUUUUCUUUUUUGUAAUUUAGUGUUUUAUUGAUUUUUCAGAGUCAAUAAUACAGAAACAUUAAAUAAAGCUCUCUCUCUACAAAUAAAUAACAAUUACAUUCACCGUCUCCGGUGCCUCACUUUUAUUUUCAUUCACAGCAUCAAAUUAAAUAUAUAGAAAGCAAUUUCCUCUGAGAUAAUUAAUACAAAAAUAUAGUAAGACCCGUUGAACUCUCUUGCUGCUCAACAAAAAUCCACAGCAUUUCACUGUAUGUUAUUCUGUCUAAGAUUGCAGUCCUAACCCCACUUAUGUGGGUGUAAACCCCAUUGAAUUAAAUAUGACUUACCUCUGAGUAGACAUGGUUAGGUUUGUAAUCCUUAUAAACAAAAUUACAGCUGCUAUCUGAACCACUUCUCUCUCCCUACUGUUACAGAGUUCAGUGGGACCUAUUCUCAAGUAAGUGCACAUAGAACGAGACAGCAAUCCAUGACAUAGAUUUAAUUGAACUGGACUUUUAAGUAGCUAUAAGUAUUAUUUGUUCCAGGUUUGUUUGACUAGAAUUAACUUCCUGAGAGAGGUUAGAUAUUAUUUUUAAUGCAUGAAAUAUUUAUUGCACGCUUGUAUGAUAACCAGUAUACUAAUUUGGGUCUAUGUAUGUAGCAAACCUAUGGGCCAGGGAUUAUAUCACUUCAUUCUGUACUUCCUUUAGUAGAGAUGAGCUAAAGUUUGGAAUCAGAAUCUGCCAUCAACAUCUGACUUUUGGUUAAAUGACUGAGGGAAGUUAAUACAACAUUUUUCAUUUCUGUAGAAACCAUCAGACGCUGUCAAAUGUAAACUGCUAUUGCAUGCAACCUGUCAGAUGUUGAAUACUAUAUGUCAGAUACAGAAUUAUCAUCAUUAUUGUAUUUUCUACGUUUAUGUAUAAAAAUAGCAUAUUACAACAAACCAAUUUAAAAUACUACCCCUAAAAUGCAAACUAAACUAAUAGAAUAGAUACAGCAGUUAAAAACAGUAGCAUAAUCUGUUCUAGAAUUCAAGUCAGAAUUUAGUUCCCCUAAAAUCACCCAGAUAUAGUGUGCUCAGGGAGUCAUUCCAUGUGCAAAGGCACUCUUGUAUACAACUAAGGCCAGGUCUAAGGCCAGGCCCAGAGCAUCCCCAAGCUGUGACCCUGCAUUUUCAGAAGGUGUGCAACCCCUCCCAACACCAGUCAUCCAAACUGGAAUACUUCCUGCUGCCAGAAGGAACCCCUAUACUGCUUGGAUUGUUUCAGCUUGUUAGGUCUCAUCUGACCUGGUCUAGGGCAGCCUACGCACCAUACAAUUUAGGCACAUUUAAAAGCACAUGACUUCUAGUAAAGAAUCCUAAGAAUUAUAGUUUGUUAACAGUAGUGGGAAUUGUAAUUCCAUGAGAUAUAAACUACAGUUCCCAGUAGUAUUUGGGUGAAGAAGCCAUGUGUUUUAGAUGUAAAGUGUGUACUUAGUCUACACCCUUCUUGGGAUAAGUGUUAUGAGCAUACCAGGCUGGUAGCCAGAUUGAAGUAGGUAAUAAAUUCAGUUUUCUGCAGGAAAACCUGGAGCCGAGAUGCCAUCACCCACUGCAACACCUUACCUAAGAAAAGAUCAAGACUGAGCAGAAAAUUAGACCAGAAACAAUAGGAGAGAAUGAAGUAUGAGUGAAAGAAUCAAAGAGAUGAGUGCAAAAUGGGAAGAAGCACAAAAUUUUCUGUUUUGGAAAAAAUCACUACAACAGAACAUGGACGAAGAAUCCAAAAUAAAGCAAAAAUAAAAGCAUAAAGGUCAAACACUGGACAAGAGGUGCAAUCAGAUUAACAGGUGUUAAGUUAAAUAGAUAUUAUCAAAGGAGUUAUCAAAAGAGGAAGAUUAGAUUAUUUUGGGAAGGAGAGCAUGCAAAUAUUUGUCUCCCAAAUCAGAAAUCUCUAUAGACACUCCCACUGUUCUAAAUGGUCAUACAGAUUGCACAUUUUCUGAGAUGCAGUAGAGUACUUUUUCUAGUUGCACAAUUUCCAGCAUCACUGGCCUGAGAAGAGACUCCUGCCUAAAAUUCUCAAGAGUCACUGCCCGUCAGUGUAGACAGUACUGAGCUAAAUUAACCAAUGGUCUGACUUAGUAUAAGGCAGCUUCCUGUAUUCCUAGGGCUUUUCUACACCUUUAAGAGAGUAGAUCAAAGAUGCCAAGGGAUUUCAAGUUUAUGCCUAAAAAUGUAAGGUGUGUUGGUCCAUCAAACAGGCAUUUGAAAACACAUAAUAUAGGUGCACUUGUCAGAUAAAUACCUAAGUUUCACUAUGACUCCUUAUUGAGAGUACACCCAGUAGCAAACAUAUUUCCCAUAAGGUUUCUAGUUUGCAGAAGGCUGUAUUUCAAAGAACACUUUAUAUUUACCUUUAGAGAAAAACCUGUUGAUUGACGCUGAUGAAGCUGGUUCAGCAUUAAGAGAAGACGGCAACUCGUUUUCUUCUGGUGCCAGAUGACUUUGUUUCAUUUGGUUUUUCUUCUGUUACAACCACCUUGCCUUCUUCAAACUAUGUGUUUUAUCACCAGAUUCCAUUCUGAUGUCACAAAGCAGCCAGAUAUUCUCUUGUAAGCAUGUUUCUUUCUUUGGUUUUCACAAGAAGCCUUUGAAAAUCAAAAUACUGCAGGAUAGGUUGUAUAUAUCCCGAUAGACACAUUGGUGCACAAUGAAUUUUUAAAGGAUUAUGCUGGAUAUGCAAUUUUUUUUUGUAAACUUUGGGCACUGAAGUGUUCCAGGUGGAUUUCCCCACUAAUGCCACACAUGCAUUUAACAACGAAGGAAAGGAGGAAGAGAACAGGAGAAUAUCCCAGUGGGUGCAUAUCAUAAAGGCCUGUAUUCAGAGCACACUUUUGCUAGCUGUUCUUUUGUGAUACAGAUUCAUGAAUAUCAAAGGAUGGAGAGGUUUGUCCUGAACUCAAAGCCAAUUGGUAAAAUGUCUUUCAUUCUUUCUUUCUUUCUUUCUUUUGUGUUGAGCCUACAAAACAGGAAACCGAUUCUGCCACAUGCUCUACUAUUCUUAAAUGGCAUUCCCCUGAAAACAAAGAGCAAGAAAAGAUGUUUUCUAUUUCUAUUAUGUUCUCUUGAGGAGCUUGGAUGAGAGAACUUGAGCAUGUCUUGGUGGAAUUGGUUCUAUGACUUUUGGAGCACGGUGGAUAAAUGAAAAGGAUGCUCUGCAUCUGAUGGAACAAAUGAAUGCACUCAUUGAUGGAGUCGUGGCGGCAGGUUCAGUAUAUUUUGAAUGAAAGCUAAGUGCCCAUGGUUAGAAGCAGGACCAGAAACUGAGGCAAGCAAAAUGCACAACUGGCGAAGGACCAUGGGAAGAGAAUAUACAAUUGCACUGUGUUGCAUAGGAAAGUGCCUUGUACUGAGUCAGACCAUUGGUCCAUCUAAGUCAGUAUCGUCUAUAUUGACUGGCAGCAGUUUUACAGGGUUUCAGGUAGGGUCUCUCAGAGCACUUUCUGGAGAUAUUGGGGAUUGAACCUGGGUCCUUCUGCAUGCCAAGCAGAUGUUCUUCCGCUCAACUACAACCCUUCCCUCACAGAGUGAUGGGCUUUCCCCAAAAGGCCAAUGGUCAAAGCUUAACUUUGUUGUUGUAUAGUUGUUCAGUCAUGUCCGACUCUUCAUGACCCCAUGGACCAGAGCACGCCAGGCACUCCUGUCUUCCACUGCCUCCCGCAGUUUGGUCAAACUCAUGU